rnacentral:rRNA from 1 species
CAGGAGGUGCGAGCGUUAAUCGGAUUACUGGGCGUAAAGCGUGCGUAGGCGGCUUUUUAAGCGGAUGUGAAACUCCCCGAGCUUAACUUGGGAAUUGCAUUCGAUACUGGGAAGCUAGAGUAUGGGGAGAGGAUGGUAGAAUUCCAGGUGUAGCGUGAAAUGCGUAGAGAUCUGGAGGAAUACCGAUGGCGAAGGCAGCCAUCUGGCCUAAUACUGACGCUAGAGGUACGAAAGCAUGGGGAGCAAACAGGAUU